GGCGGACAAUAAUAACGGUGACACCUUGAAGUCAAGCGCGGGAAUCAGAACAAAGGAAGACGAAGCAGAAGAGAAAUGGCAACGACCAGCAAGAGAAGGAAAUAUGCGUGCAGCACCGAUCACGCUCAGUAUUUUGGGUCAUGUUGCCAAAGAGGGACCCAAGGGUUGUAUUUAUGCCGAGAAAAAGAUGGCUAUGCUGUUAGCUACAAGCAACAUCCCAUUCACGUUUGCGGAUGUUUUCAACAAGUCCAUGAAGGAUAUGUUCCCGGAUUCGGAGAUCGCUCGCCAGUACGCAAAUGGCAGAACAAUGGCACUGGAAUACUGAACGGUGCCAUCAUACAUGCCAACCCUCCCGAUUUUUCCGAGAGAAUCCCGAAUUUCGGUGCCCUUCCUGAAAGCCACCAUUCUCCAGAAUUUCUCCUAAUUUCACCCGGACAACAAAAGUGCUAAACCAUCCUUAACUGAGCUUCCGUUGGCGGGCGGACAAUAAUAACGGUGACACCUCGAAGUCAAGCGCGGGAAUCAGAACAAAGGAAGACGAAGCAGAAGAGAAAUGGCAACGACCAGCAAGAGAAGGAAAUAUGCGUGCAGCACGGAUCACGACCCAGUAUUUUGGGGCAUGUUGCUGAAGGUAGACCCAAGGAUGGUGUUUAUGCCGAGACAAAGAUGGCUAUGCUGUUAGCUACAAGCUACAAGCUACAAGUCCCUGAAGGAUAUGUUCCCGGAUUGGGAGAUCGCUCGCCAGUAGGCAAAUGGCAGAACAAAGGCUCAAAUAGUGAAAGGUGCCAUUGCCCAGAAUUGGACUGUGCCUAAACCAACCCUUUGGUCUGAUGUGUGAUGAAAGCACAAACAGAAACUCAGAUAAAGAGUUUGUGAUAUUGGCCAGGGUUUUCUCUCCGAAAACUCAGAAGGGGGUGACGAGGUCCAGCUGGCCACAGGAUGUGGCAUUAGGGCUCUAGGCCAGCCUGUUGAUCACAUCCUCAGCAGCAUUUAUGCUCUUUGACGUCAGUGCCAAACAUGCUGAACUCUUCAAAGAGUUUGUGCAGUUCAGACUCAGAGACUGAAGAUACUCCAAUACUGUGGAACCAGGUGGCCCAGCUUGCUGACUUGUUUUGGCAUAAACCGGGUGCUCAACCAGUGGGAUGCACAGCAGGCCAGUAUGAGGAUGUGGAGAAGCCUGACAAGGUGAAGAUGCUGGCAGAGCAUUUAACCAGCAAGAAGACAAAGUUCUUCUUCCUCUUCCAGGUUCUGAAGCCACUGGCAGAGUUCAAGGUUAUUUCAGGCUGAAGGAGUGAUGGUCCAUUGGCUACACAAGGAGAUGACCAGCCUGGUGAGAAGAUUCAUGGGAAGAUUUUUCCCUGCCAGCCUUAUUGCUGACGUCCCACUGAAGGACAUGAAGUUCAUGGAUGCCAGCCUACAGUUGCCAGACAAAGAACUGUUUCUUGGAGUAGCUGCACAAAGCCUCUGGGGGGACAACAUGGAUGAACUUUCCUCUUCUGUCCCAAUGAUGAUCCAGGCAGUGAGAGACUUCUUUGUAGCUGUGACCGCAAAGAUGAUGACCGCAUUCCCCCUCGACAACAUCAUCCUCCAAAACCUGACCGUGUUGGAUCCAGAGUCACGGCAUCAAUUUUCUCCAAACUCAGUUAUUGAGCUAGGGAAAAGUCUGCCGCAGCUGCGGUUGGACCUGGAUAGCCUUAGGGAAGAAUUAGUGGAGUACCAGGUGCUUGUUGUAUAGGAUGUUUCUGUUGAACCAUCACUACCAUCUGUUGCACAGGUACUGGACAGCUAUUUAAUUUAACUUGUUUUUUCUGAUAAAUAAACACUGUAAAAUUCAAGUGACUCAUGGACCGGUAGGGGCUGGAGCGCUGGGUUAGGGUUAAGAGUAGAGUGCUUCAUCACAGUGUUAAAAUCAGAUGCUGGAGAAGUUCAUGGGGAAGUUUAUUAUACAACGAUUUUAUUUCAGUUCAGUACAGUUUUAUUAAUGCAGCACUAUUUAACAACAACAGCCACUUCACAAUAUUUUCUGUUAACCUGUUGCCUGCUGGGAACAAGGCUCACCGUAUAACCACAGAGGUAGACUGCAUCAAGCUCUAAUGUUCAUGUCUAAAAAUAUUCAUUUGAAAAAAAAACUCUGUAAAGUAGCAGGAAGCUACAGAGAGUUUAAGGAGUCUAAAAGCAAAAAUAAGCUCAGUGCAAAAAGUUGAGCAACACAACAUGUACCAUAAAAAGACAGAGUAUUGCAGGUAGAUGUGAACUCUGUGGGAGGUGUAACCAGACAGACAAAGUGACUCACUGAUCCAGUCACAGACUUAUGACCUUCAUGAUCCAAGCAAUUCAAAUUCAGUCAAGUAUGAGUGAAGCACCCCAAACACCUGAUGCUUACCUAUUUAACUGAUUCCAUUAAAGUGCAGGUUGAAUAUCUUGUAUAUUUCCAAUCUUUCUAAGCCCUUCUUCUGUUCUGUGACUUCUCUCUUCCAGAGCGGGUUCCCCAGUGAAUACUUUCACUCCUUCUUGAACUCAGUGGAAAUGAUCACUGUAGAAUUAACCUCGCCUGUGGAUGCUGUUAUGGCCUGCAAGCCAGAUGAGAAGAUGGUGUUGAACAAAGGCAGCUAUGACUCCACCAGCUCCAGGUUCUCUAACCCAAGUUACUCUGAGCUUUGUAGCCUCCUCCUAUUUCCUCACUCACUGCUGGGAAUCUGAAGCCCUGUGCGGCUGACACGCCUUAUGGCCCUGUUGGUACUCGGGGUGAAGGAAAAAGCACAGAACAGGAACAACUGGUACACGUGUUAUUGUUAGCUGUGCUCUUUUUAUUCCAGCUGGUGAGGGAUCCACAGCCUGUAGCAGCCUCACACACCUUUUAUCACCGUUUCCUCCUCAUGUCCUCAAAGGGCCUGUCUGCACACUGUUAUAUCAUGAAUAAUAGUUGAAAAGAAAUCUGUAUACAUAAAAUAUGUGCAUGCACACACACAACUAAAUAUGUAAUAUUUAGAGUCACUUUUAAUUUAGAUAAGGUAGUUUUUUAGCCUUAGAUACAAACAGUGAAGGGCAGAAAGUGAGACCAUUUUCAAUCACUAAGACAAGAAUUCAAAUGAACACUUAUUUGUUUCUACUUUUGCAAGCUAUAAAAUUAUAGCUCCUCUGAUGAGACUCCUCUCUCCUGUCCCCAGGACAGUAAAAAUCUUCAUGAGUGAAGACGACAUUGACUUUAGAGCUGGAAUAUAAAGUAGACCCCAAUAUUUCGCUUCACAUAAACAUCGUCAUUUAUUCCCUCUUACUGUGGCUGUUUUUCUUCCAUCACGAUAAAAUCACACUUCAUGCAGAGCUCUCUCUCUCUGAGGAAGAGUUUCCCAUCUAAAAAUCUGUUUUCUGCAUUAUUCUCUUGCUUAUUACCCACCAGUCUAACGUUGUUUACAGCACUGUCGGACGUUAUUACUGUUCAAUGCUGAGCAAACUUUUUAAAAUGAUGCAAAAUUGCAUACUGCUUAGCUGUACUUUGCUCUGCUUCAAUUCAGCAGCAUCAGGUAAUGUUCGCUUGUUGAUUCAUGGUUUUCUCCAGUUUUUGUUCUACUGCAGAAUAUUUUUAAGGUUGUCUGUUUAAA